GGUUGACCUCGGAUCAGGUAGGAAUACGCGCUGAACUUAAGCAUAUCAAUAAGCGGAGG
rnacentral:rRNA from 1 species